UGGGAACCUUUGUAUCACCAGCCACUGUGAGAUGUGAUUUCUUUCACAAAAGAUUGCCAGAGCCAGUUUAACCUGGAUAACAGCUAAGAGAUACCAGUUGCUUAAGCAGCUGCAGGAAAAACAGAGAGGCACCAAAGGGUACAUGGAUAGCCAGCCUCCAUGUGGGGCUGCUCAGCAAAACUCUGCUCAGACUGAAACAGUCUGCUUCCUUAUGCACAGCCAACAUACAGCUAAGUGAAAAAAUUUGGAGACCACAAAUAUCCUGUUUCUACACUACUAAGGGAAGAUCAUCAGAGGAAAACGUAAAUCUUUCAGAGAAAAAAGAAUUUACUACUUCCUUAUCAGAAGAGACCAACUUCUCCUGCCUUGCUCGGCCCUGUUGACGCCAUGGAGAUUAAAGGAAGAAAGUGAUACUAACCAGAGACAAUUCUUUGUUUGAAUAGAAUUUAUGCAUCAUGUAUAAAAUGUAUGAAUAUUCAACAGGCUAUUGCUUUUAAGAGAUAAUCCUUUGUUAACAAGCGUCCCUUCUUCGGAGCUUUUUUGCUCGGGGAGGCACCCAGACGUCUGUAACUUUGUUUUUUAUUGUCUCGUAUUGUCCUAACUCUAAUUGUUC